CCUACGGGAGGCAGCAGUGAGGAAUAUUGGUCAAUGGGCGCGAGCCUGAACCAGCCAAGUAGCGUGAAGGAUGACUGCCCUACGGGUUGUAAACUUCUUUUAUAAAGGAAUAAAGUGAGGCACGUGUGCCUUUUUGUAUGUACUUUAUGAAUAAGCAUCGGCUAACUCCGUGCCAUCAGCCGCGGUAAUAUGGAGGAUCCGAGCGUGAUCCGGAUUUAUUGGGUUUAAAGGGAGAGUAGAUGGGUUGUUAAGUCAGUUGUGAAAGUUUGGGGCUCAACCGUAAAAUUGCAAGUGAUACUGGCAGUCUUGAGUACAGUAGAGGUAGGCGGAAUUCGUGGUGUAGCGGUGAAAUGCUUAGAUAUCACGAAGAACUCCGAUGGCGAAGGCAGCUUACUAAACUGCCACUGACAUUGAUGCUCGAAAGUGUGGGUAUCAAACAGGAUUAGAUACCCGAGUAGUC
rnacentral:rRNA from 1 species